rnacentral:misc_RNA from 1 species
AACGCACAUUGCGCCCGCCAGCACUCUGGCGGGCAUGCCUGUCCGAGCGUCAUUUCAACCCUCAAGCACUGCUUGGCGUUGGGGCACUACGCGCCGAGCGUAGGCCCCUAAAAUCAGUGGCGGGCCCGCCGUGGCUCCGGGCGUAGUAGCAACACCUCGCCCCGGGACUGCGGCGCGCUCCGGCCGUUAAACCCCCCACCAUACUGAAGGUUGACCUCGGAUCAGGUAGGAAUACCCGCUGAACUUAA